GGGACACGUGGUAUCCUGUCUGAAUAUGGGGGGACCAUCCUCCAAGGCUAAAUACUCCUGACUGACCGAUAGUGAACCAGUACCGUGAGGGAAAGGCGAAAAGAACCCCGGCGAGGGGAGUGAAAAAGAACCUGAAACCGUGUACGUACAAGCAGUGGGAGCACCUUCGGGUGUGACUGCGUACCUUUUGUAUAAUGGGUCAGCGACUUAUAUUCUGUAGCAAGGUUAACCGUAUAGGGGAGCCGCAGGGAAACCGAGUCUUAACUGGGCGUUAAGUUGCAGGGUAUAGACCCGAAACCCGGUGAUCUAGCCAUGGGCAGGUUGAAGGUUGGGUAACACUAACUGGAGGACCGAACCGACUAAUGUUGAAAAAUUAGCGGAUGACUUGUGGCUGGGGGUGAAAGGCCAAUCAAACCGGGAGAUAGCUGGUUCUCCCCGAAAGCUAUUUAGGUAGCGCCUCGUGAACUCAUCUUCGGGGGUAGAGCACUGUUUCGGCUAGGGGGUCAUCCCGACUUACCAACCCGAUGCAAACUACGAAUACCGAAGAAUGUUAUCACGGGAGACACACGGCGGGUGCUAACGUCCGUCGUGAAGAGGGAAACAACCCAGACCGCCAGCUAAGGUCCCAAAGUCAUGGUUAAGUGGGAAACGAUGUGGGAAGGCACAGACAGCCAGGAUGUUGGCUUAGAAGCAGCCAUCAUUUAAAGAAAGCGUAAUAGCUCACUGGUCGAGUCGGCCUGCGCGGAAGAUGUAACGGGGCUAAACCAUGCACCGAAGCUGCGGCAGCGACACUAUGUGUUGUUGGGUAGGGGAGCGUUCUGUAAGCCUGCGAAGGUGUGCUGUGAGGCAUGCUGGAGGUAUCAGAAGUGCGAAUGCUGACAUAAGUAACGAUAAAGCGGGUGAAAAGCCCGCUCGCCGGAAGACCAAGGGUUCCUGUCCAACGUUAAUCGGGGCAGGGUGAGUCGACCCCUAAGGCGAGGCCGAAAGGCGUAGUCGAUGGGAAACAGGUUAAUAUUCCUGUACUUGGUGUUACUGCGAAGGGGGGACGGAGAAGGCUAUGUUAGCCGGGCGACGGUUGUCCCGGUUUAAGCAUGUAGGCUGAUUGUCCAGGCAAAUCCGGAUAAUCAAGGCUGAGGUGUGAUGACGAGGCACUACGGUGCUGAAGUAACAAAUGCCCUGCUUCCAGGAAAAGCCUCUAAGCAUCAGGUAACAUUAAAUCGUACCCCAAACCGACACAGGUGGUCAGGUAGAGAAUACCAAGGCGCUUGAGAGAACUCGGGUGAAGGAACUAGGCAAAAUGGUGCCGUAACUUCGGGAGAAGGCACGCUGGUGUGUAGGUGAAGUCCCUGCGGAUGGAGCUGAGACCAGUCGAAGAUACCAGCUGGCUGCAACUGUUUAUUAAAAACACAGCACUGUGCAAACACGAAAGUGGACGUAUACGGUGUGACGCCUGCCCGGUGCCGGAAGGUUAAUUGAUGGGGUUAUCCGUAAGGAGAAGCUCUUGAUCGAAGCCCCGGUAAACGGCGGCCGUAACUAUAACGGUCCUAAGGUAGCGAAAUUCCUUGUCGGGUAAGUUCCGACCUGCACGAAUGGCGUAAUGAUGGCCAGGCUGUCUCCACCCGAGACUCAGUGAAAUUGAACUCGCUGUGAAGAUGCAGUGUACCCGCGGCAAGACGGAAAGACCCCGUGAACCUUUACUAUAGCUUGACACUGAACAUUGAGCCUUGAUGUGUAGGAUAGGUGGGAGGCUUUGAAGCGUGGACGCCAGUCUGCGUGGAGCCAACCUUGAAAUACCACCCUUUAAUGUUUGAUGUUCUAACGUUGGCCCCUGACCGGGGUUGCGGACAGUGUCUGGUGGGUAGUUUGACUGGGGCGGUCUCCUCCCAAAGCGUAACGGAGGAGCACGAAGGUUAGCUAAUCCUGGUCGGACAUCAGGAGGUUAGUGCAAUGGCAUAAGCUAGCUUGACUGCGAGCGUGACGGCGCGAGCAGGUGCGAAAGCAGGUCAUAGUGAUCCGGUGGUUCUGAAUGGAAGGGCCAUCGCUCAACGGAUAAAAGGUACUCCGGGGAUAACAGGCUGAUACCGCCCAAGAGUUCAUAUCGACGGCGGUGUUUGGCACCUCGAUGUCGGCUCAUCACAUCCUGGGGCUGAAGUAGGUCCCAAGGGUAUGGCUGUUCGCCAUUUAAAGUGGUACGCGAGCUGGGUUUAGAACGUCGUGAGACAGUUCGGUCCCUAUCUGCCGUGGGCGCUGGAGAAUUGAGGGGGGCUGCUCCUAGUACGAGAGGACCGGAGUGGACGCAUCACUGGUGUUCGGGUUGUCAUGCCAAUGGCACUGCCCGGUAGCUAAAUGCGGAAGAGAUAAGUGCUGAAAGCAUCUAAGCACGAAACUUGCCCCGAGAUGAGUUCUCCCUGAGACUAUAAGUCUCCUGAAGGAACGUUGAAGACGACGACGUUGAUAGGCCGGGUGUGUAAGCGCAGCGAUGCGUUGAGCUAACCGGUACUAAUGAACCGUGAGGCUUAACCUU
rnacentral:rRNA from 1 species